rnacentral:rRNA from 1 species
AUUGAACGCUGGCGGCAGGCUUAACACAUGCAAGUCGAGCGGGCGAGGUUGCUUCGGUAACUGAGCUAGCGGCGGACGGGUGAGUAAUGCUUAGGAAUCUGCCUAUUAGUGGGGGACAACAUUCCGAAAGGGAUGCUAAUACCGUAUACGCCCUACGGGGGAAAGCAGGGGAUCUUCGGACCUUGCGCUAAUAGAUGAGCCUAAGUCGGAUUAGCUAGUUGGUGGGGUAAAGGCCUACCAAGGCGACGAUCUGUAGCGGGUCUGAGAGGAUGAUCCGCCACACUGGGACUGAGACACGGCCCAGACUCCUACGGGCGGCAGCAGUGGGGAAUAUUGGACAAUGGGGGGAACCCUGAUCCAGCCAUGCCGCGUGUGUGAAGAAGGCCUCUUGGUUGUAAAGCACUUUAAGCGAGGAGGAGGCGCUCUAGGUUAUUGUUUUGACGUCACCGACAGAAUAAGCACCGGCUAACUUCGUGCCAGCCGCCGCAGUAAAAC